rnacentral:rRNA from 1 species
GAUCAUGGCUCAGGAUGAACGCUAGCUACAGGCUUAACACAUGCAAGUCGAGGGGCAGCAUGGUCUUAGCUUGCUAGGACUGAUGGCGACCGGCGCACGGGUGAGUAACACGUAUCCAACCUGCCGUCUACUCUUGGACAGCCUUCUGAAAGGAAGAUUAAUACAAGAUGGCAUCAUGAGUCCGCAUGUUCACAUGAUUAAAGGUAUUCCGGGUGGACGAG